CUUUUUGUGGGAGGGAGCAGUCAACAGAAGAAUCCAGGCAACUUUCUGCAAACGUGGUGAAGGAAUCGAGCCUCAGAGUAAUGAUAAACCUGACCAUAGAUCAGGGGAAGGGUUUGCGGUUUGCAAAGUCUUUACUUGCUGAGAGUGAUGAAGAAUGAACACACUGAGAAAACACAUUAUAUAACUGUAAAAUAUGCAUUCGCAAAGCUAUAUUUGUAAAAUUAGUAAUAAAUCAUAAUAACAGGUAAUGACAUACUUUAAAAUUAUCUUAAAUAU